GGGGUUGUAGCUCAGUUGGAAGAGCAUCACAAUGGCAUUGUGAGGGUCGUCGGUUCGAAUCCGAUCAGCUCCACCA
rnacentral:tRNA from 1 species